UCCUCAGCUUCAUAGAGGCCUGUAUCUAAAGUAAUGAAAACAAGCACUUUUUUAGGGGGAAAAAAAAAAAAAGCCCUGAGUAUUGUAGGUGUAUGUCUCAUUCCUUAAAACCUGCCAGUACUUUGUCACUGAAGAAAUUAAAAAUGCCAGCACUGGCAAUGGGAAGUGUGCUGAUAUAAAAGUGAGUUGCUUGGCAACAGAUUAACUUAUUUAAAACUUUUACCGCUGCUUUGACAAACAGGCUGAAAAAAGAAAUAUGAAGGCAACAGUAAAAUCCUCCGGAUCAGAACUCCCAGGUGACCCUCCGAAGUAGAAGACUCACUGGCCUACAUGCUGAAGCUGAGAUGCUGUGAAAUGUUAAGUAAGGAACUCGAAGCACCUAGCACAGAAAACUCACUUUGGAGCCCUGAUCCAUCACAUAAGAAAUGCAGCUGUUCUGAAGCCUCCAUGCCUCUCCCCAACACCAUAGAUGGGAAAUUCUCUAAAGAAGGAAAAACUGUGAGUCCUCAGCAAUUCACCCCGUACACUUCAGAGAAGGGUAGAGUAGAAACAGAUCACAACUAAUUGUUUCCACUAAACAGCAACAACAAAACAAGAUAAAAACUUGAUGGGAUUUGGUCAUCUCCUGAGACGGGGAAUAAUCUAGAAGGAAAUAGAAAAAGAAGCUUUCUAUGGUCUUUUUUUCUGUAAUGCUUGUUUAAACAAUGAAUUCCACUCAUUGCCCCUCCUCUGGCUGGGGAGGGAGAGAAACAACAGUAAAGGAGAGCCCAAGGGAAUGGUGGCAUCAAACUGUUGUGUUUGUCAGGCCAUCUAUAUUGGGAGAGCAAUCCAACACAAACACACUUUCUCUGCCUACAUAAGAAGGUUACACCCUGGACUAGUCAGCAUAAAAUCUUUUAUAAUAACACAACUAUAUAAAAUUGUAAGAAAACAUUCACCAAUCAAAACAGUCAUGACUGCAUGUGAAGCUCCUUAAGAAAACAGAAGCAUCCGCCAAGGGACACCAGGAGUCACCAGUCCACAAAGUGAAGCUCAAGGGAAAAAUAAAAGAAACUUCCACGAAGACA
rnacentral:lncRNA from 12 species